GUCGUUUCUGGGCUCUCUGAGCUAAGAUCUUGUGUAGCAUUUGUUCUUUGCAGUGUAAUUUCUGCAACGGUCUCAAAAUUGAGAUCAACGAAAAUGCGAGCUACAACUCGAACUGAAAGCUCCAAGGGCGACGUCAGAAAUAAGGUAUUUAUAAUACUAUUAGCUAUAUUUGAGUAUUAUUGCUCUAUGUUUAUUAUUU
rnacentral:snRNA from 1 species